AAGUGCAUACGACAUGAAAUUUCUUAUUUUCUUAAAUGAAAGAACUCUUUAAGCUGUAGUGUAACUUAUUUUUCAGUUUCUUGUUUUUAUGGUUUGUUCCCGAGAUAUUUCAAUUUGAUAUGCAAAUGGUGUGAAUAUGUCGCUAAAUUUUGACGUCAUGUUGGUUGCAAGCUCUUCAAAAUGGUUGAAUAUCACUGCUAUCAUCCAAGAUGAUAAUUUCAAACUUCACUCACUGGUAAAUGUGAUGAAACACUGUAGAAAAACGUGAACAGAUAUCUACAGUUUUUAGAUUUAAUAGAUUUAUAACCAAUGUAAGUUGAGCUUGCAACCAACAUGACGUCAUAAAUUAGCGGACAUAUUCACACUCAUUUACAUAUCAAACAAAUUGACCGAAUAUCUCGGGAACAAACCAUUAAAAAAAGAAACCGAAAAAUAAGUUACACUACAUCUUAAAGAGUUCUUUCGUUUAAGAAAAUAAGAAAUUUCAUGUCAUAUGCACUUUAAAGAAAUAAAUUAUCAGUUAAAAAACGGGGGUCACCGAUCUUUUUAGGGAAUUGUGGCAUUAAAACGUGAAAUACAAGUAAAAAAAUACUACAUACACAGGGAACCCUAGCUACACUUUUGUAUGCCUUAUUUGAAAACAUUGAUUUUAACGUGAUUCUUUGCCCGAAUGUAACCAAAGAUGUUUUGAAGUAAUAUAAAUGUCAUAAAAUGAUUUUUUUUAAACAAUACGUAUAAUGAAUGAAAUUAUAAGCUUUAAGAUAUGCGCAGUAAAAGUGCGCAAUGCAAAACUGCGGAAUUACCUUAAUAAUGUUUUAAAAUUAAACUGUAUGGUUAUUAUUAGACAAGUCAGGCGUUGCUUUAAAUGCAUGGACACCAUUUUGUUCACAACGUGUCCUAGUCCUAAGCUGUAGAAACGGACCUCGCAAUUAUCAUGAUGCAACAUUAUAUACUGUAUUACACGCACUUCAUGUAAUACGAAUUAUAGAGGUUUUAUUGCGGAUUGAAGCAUUACAUUUAUAUGGAUUUUUUAAAAGUAAAAGACUUCGGGAGACUUAUGAUUAUACGCUAUUAAGUCGCUAAGGGUUUGAAAAUUUCAUUCAACUGUGUAACGUCAAGUCUUUCACAUUUUAAAAAAAGCAAAGCUAUAUAUUUCCAAUUUCCAGCCAAACUAAAAGUUUACUUUUGUAAGUGCUGCCAUGUUUGUUUUGUUUCGAAGCAAUCUGUGCCGUUACUUGACGACUACUUUAAGCUGAUCGGUUGAUUUUAAUUAAAUCCCGUUGUUUUUUCACCAAUCUGAUCAGUUUGUUAAAGAUUUUUGCACUGUUAGCACGCUAUAGAUUAUAUGAUAAAAACCGCUGUGAACUUAUUUAAUUAUCAGAAUUAUAAGAACACAUUAGAUAAAUCGAUUUUCAACAACUCAACUACAAUCUACAUGUGAAGAUUUUAGCAGUUCUUAAGCACAGAAUUUUGAAGAGAGUGAAAUUUCUUUCUUAAUUAAAACGCCACGAAC